rnacentral:sRNA from 1 species
AGUCCUUGGUUCAUCAGCAGUGUGGGGAGGCAGCCAAGGCUCCUGCAGAUUCCUGGCAUCGACCUUGGAAAGCCUCUGCGAUACUUGUGUGUACGAAUACAGCAGAGGACAGGGAGGUCCUUGUUCUGUGGUCUCUGUUUAGUGACUGAAACUUAAACCCAAAGGCAAGCCCAGAUUGUCUGGCCGUUCAUCCCCAUGCUUUGAUAGGGGUUAGGAGGAACCCUUUCCGUAUGAAAGACAGGCCCUACUAGGGCUUACAACCAAGCCAAAGGACCAUCUCUUCUUUCUUCCACCUCCCUUCACCCCUGCCCCGCAGCAGAGCCGAGAUGUGAGACAUUCAUUGUCACGGAGCAAGGAGACAAAGGCAAGUUCAAGUUGAGAAGCACAUGGCAGCAAACAGAAAUGAAAACCAUAUGUCCCAGCAAGGGGAAAAGCAUCAUCGCCCCCAGAUCAGGCUGGUACAGGAUGCCUUACGGUGAUGAGAGGUGAGGGUGCAUGAAGAAUAAUGAGCACAGGGAAGAGAGAAGCAGGACAAAGUAGCAGAUAAAAUGCCGGCAAAGCACAGAUGAAUGUCUUCAAGAAGCUCUUGUAUUUCUCUGCACAAUGUAAAUAUCCUUGCUAUUUCAGGAUGGCGGCUGGCCUGCUCAGUAACAUACAUGUUCCAAAUAAAGAUUUUGCAUGAAA